rnacentral:rRNA from 1 species
UUGGAGGGCAAGUCUGGUGCCAGCAGCCGCGGUAAUUCCAGCUCCAAUAGCGUAUAUUAAAGUUGUUGCAGUUAAAAAGCUCGUAGUUGAAUUUCGGGACCAUCAUGUCGGUCGUGCCUCGGUACGUACUGGCAUUGUUGGUUUCUCCCUUCUGACGAACCAUGAUGUCAUUUAUUUGGUGUUGUGGGGAAUCAGGACUGUUACUUUGAAAAAAUUAGAGUGUUUAAAGCAGGCUCACGCUUGAAUACAUUAGCAUGGAAUAAUGAAAUAGGACGUUUGAUUCUAUUUUGUUGGUUUCUAGGAUCGACGUAAUGAUUAAUAGGGAUAGUUGGGGGCAUUAGUAUUCAAUUGUCAGAGGUGAAAUUCUUGGAUUUAUUGAAGACUAACUACUGCGAAAGCAUUUGCCAAGGAUGUUUUCAUUAAUCAAGAACGAAAGUUAGGGGAUCGAAGACGAUCAGAUACCGUCGUAGUCUUAACCAUAAACUAUGCCGACUAGGGAUCGGAUGAUGUUAAUUUUUUAAUGACUCAUUCGGCGCCUUACGGGAAAC